rnacentral:rRNA from 1 species
AUUGAACGCUGGCGGCAUGCCUUACACAUGCAAGUCGAACGGCAGCACGGGAGCUUGCUCCUGGUGGCGAGUGGCGAACGGGUGAGUAAUACAUCGGAACGUACCCAGGAGUGGGGGAUAACGUAGCGAAAGUUACGCUAAUACCGCAUAUUCUGUGAGCAGGAAAGCGGGGGAUCGCAAGACCUCGCGCUCUUGGAGCGGCCGAUGUCGGAUUAGCUAGUUGGUGAGGUAAAAGCUCACCAAGGCGACGAUCCGUAGCAGGUCUGAGAGGAUGAUCUGCCACACUGGGACGGAGACACGGCCCAGACUCCUACGGGAGGCAGCAGUGGGGAAUUUUGGACAAUGGGGGCAACCCUGAUCCAGCCAUGCCGCGUGAGUGAAGAAGGCCUUCGGGUCGUAAAGCUCUUUCGGCGGGGAAGAAAUGGCAACGGCUAAUAUCCGUUGUUGAUGACGGUACCCGCAUAAGAAGCACCGGCUAACUACGUGCCAGCAGCCGCGGUAACAC